AGCUGUUUUUUUUCACUUUAUCAUCUGGGUUGUGCCUAGUUUCUAGUAAAAAACACUUGGUUGUGAGUUGUGAUCGUUGAACAGUGGUUAAUCAAGGUGUUGUUUUCUUCGAUUUUCGUUUUUUUCCUGCUAAUUUGGGGAUAAGCGUUCUUCAUUCAGCUGUUUUUUCCGUUCUAUCAUUUGGGUUUAGUAGAUUUGAGCUGUGAUUGUUGAGAAGUGGUGAAUGCAAUGGUGGAUACAAG
rnacentral:misc_RNA from 1 species